rnacentral:ncRNA from 1 species
GAUUAUUGAGGGUAGAAACGCUGAGCCUUCUUUUAUAAACGCAUGGUCGGCUCAGCACUAGGCUCAGCGGGGCCGUCGAGGCAUCUACCGCACCCUUAAACAGGGUAUAAAGAGAUGUGGGACACGCCGCCCCACCAAUAAUC